UCAAAUACAGUGAAGUGGAAUAGUAAUCAAAAACAAAAGAAUAGAGAGUAAACGGUUGGUGGAAGUUUAUCUUUUGUCUUGAUGAAGGUAGCCAUGGAGUAGUUUAGGUGAAACUAAGUAGCUUAAAUCGUAUUGCUCGCGUUAAGAGUUUUGAGUGCUUAUUUUAUAAGAAUAAAGGUGGUACCGCGUUUAAUCGUCCUUUUU
rnacentral:ncRNA from 1 species